rnacentral:rRNA from 1 species
AUACGGAGGAUGCAAGCGUUAUCCGGAUUUACUGGGCGUAAAGGGCGUGUAGGCGGUCUUGCAAGUCAGAAGUGAAAUUCCUGAGCUCAACUCGGGCGCUGCUUCUGAAACUGCAGGACUUGAGUGCUGGAGGGGAUAGCGGAAUUCCUAGUGGAGCGGUAAAAUGCGCAGAUAUUAGGAAGAACACCGGUGGCGAAGGCGGCCAACUAGAAAGUAACUUAUGCUUAGGCGCGAAAGCGUGGGGAGCAAACAGGAUUAGAUUCCCUGGUCGUCCACGCUGUAAACGAUGUUUACUAGGUGUGGGGGGACUGACCCCUUCCGUGCCGCAGUUAACACAAUAAGGAUCCCACCUGGGGAGUACGAUCGCAAGGUUGAAACUCAAAGGAAUUGACGGGG